rnacentral:rRNA from 1 species
AUUGAACGCUGGCGGCAGGCCUAACACAUGCAAGUCGAGCGGCAGCGGGAAAGUAGCUUGCUACUUUUGCCGGCGAGCGGCGGACGGGUGAGUAAUGCCUGGGAAAUUGCCCAGUCGAGGGGGAUAACAGUUGGAAACGACUGCUAAUACCGCAUACGCCCUACGGGGGAAAGCAGGGGACCUUCGGGCCUUGCGCGAUUGGAUAUGCCCAGGUGGGAUUAGCUAGUUGGUGAGGUAAUGGCUCACCAAGGCGACGAUCCCUAGCUGGUCUGAGAGGAUGAUCAGCCACACUGGAACUGAGACACGGUCCAGACUCCUACGGGAGGCAGCAGUGGGGAAUAUUGCACAAUGGGGGAAACCCUGAUGCAGCCAUGCCGCGUGUGUGAAGAAGGCCUUCGGGUUGUAAAGCACUUUCAGCGAGGAGGAAAGGUUGAUGCCUAAUACGUAUCAACUGUGACGUUACUCGCAGAAGAAGCACCGGCUAACUCCGUGCCAGCCGCCGCCGUAA